UAGACCUAGGAUCCAGUAGCGCUGCCGCAC
rnacentral:piRNA from 1 species